AAACGAGUUUAUGGCGUUAUGUUUUUCCCGGGCAUUUGGUUUGGUCGUUUUACCUGGCACAGCUCUGGCUCCCAUCCGAGAAGAAAAUGACAUGAGAGCGAUCCCGACGAGCGUGCAAUCCAACAGGGGCUUUGUCAGACUCGAGUAAAGAUGGGCCACGGAACUGGCCAAUUCUGAAAGAUCGUCAGUCAGUCUUUGUUCCGCACCUCCGAGUCUCGUAUCCAGAGCAGAUACUCUGUAGUACGUCUGUUGACUCAGAUACAUCUUGUACGCGUAUUUAACUAGUCUUUCUCUAAAAAAUAAAAAUGAAAACAAAAAGGAAACGAUAAGUGGAAAAUAAUUUGAAAAAAAAUGAAUUAAAAGACAAACUACCGGGAGAUUCUGAGCUUUGAAAAAAAUCGUUCGAAACGGCUUUCGAUUCGGAACAAUGGCGAGGAACAUUUUGAAGAAGGCUACCUCGCCUCUCAGAACCGUUCUCCAGACUGCAAACGACUUUCAAACUAUUGUCUCACGAUUACGCUUCAUUCGGGGCUCCUGUCGUCGGGUCAAGAGGGCAUUCUCGUUGCAGUACCGAUGGGAUAAGCGGGC
rnacentral:lncRNA from 1 species